GUUCAUCCCAGUCUCAGCAGAGAACAGUUUCAAUCCAUGUUUCAGAUUCACCCAGAUGCCUUGGAUAAUUUGUUUUGGAAAACAUAUAUUGAAGAUAUCAGAGCCACAGUAUGACAGAAGACUAGGUCCCAGAAUCACAACUGGAAGGAAAGUCAUGCACUAAUGAAGAAAACAAUUCUUAAGGCUUAUAUGAGCUGAAAACAAACUUCUGUCAUGUUGCUGCCUUUAUCCAUUUUUAAAAGAUGUUUGUCAUCAGUAGUGCUACUCUAAUAAAAUACAUCAUGAGCACAAUAACUUAAACUGGUCUCAUUAUAAAUCCUAGAUCUCCUAUCAUCACAGUUUAAAUCCAGACUACUGGUGUGGAAAGGUAUAUAAAUGCCUUCCAGAAUCUGAAAGGCAUAAUUUUGUUCACUUAUUUCAGGUUUUACUAAGGAUUCCAUACCCUUGGCUUCUGUUGAAUUAUUUC
rnacentral:lncRNA from 1 species